CUAUGCGCCUUGCCAGCCCGCUCAGGUGUGCCAGCCGCCGCGGUAAUACGGAGGAUGCGAGCGUUAUCCGGAUUUAUUGGGUUUAAAGGGUGCGUAGGCGGUCCGUUAAGUCAGCGGUAAAAUUGCGGGGCUCAACCCCGUCGAGCCGUUGAAACUGGCAGACUUGAGUUGGCGAGAAGUACGCGGAAUGCGCGGUGUAGCGGUGAAAUGCAUAGAUAUCGCGCAGAACUCCGACUGCGAAGGCAGCGUACCGGCGCCACACUGACGCUGAGGCACGAAAGCGUGGGGAUCGAACAGG
rnacentral:rRNA from 1 species